CUCUUCGAGCCCGUGACCCAAGCGCGAGGCGGCAAGGGCCGGCGCAGGGGCGGGAGCACGCGGCUCUGGCUCGCGCGUCGAGCCCGGUGCUGAUGGACAGGCGAAGGAGCGGCUAAGACGCAGCUUGGUUAGAAGCAGCCCUCCGUGCCAAGUAUGACUCCGCGUUCUUGGGAGCAGCCUCCAAGGGCCGGGGAAUCUUGCCACCCCGAGGUCCAGCCCCCUCCCCUCAGGCAUGGGCGAGAUAUCCCCGAACUGGACUCCCAGGUUCCUGCUCGGCUGUCUACUGGAGGUUGGGAAAGGCAAACCUGAACACCACCUCUGCUUGAGGCCGCCCUUGCCUUCGUGAGCAGAGGCGCCAGGCUCCGCUUAAAACCCUUGCGGACCUCCUGCUUCACCACUGCAGCCACGUCUCCGGAGGAGACCACCAAAGGCUCGGGCGCUCUCAGCCUCUGUGCUUCUCCUCCAGACCGUCCUUCUGCCUGGGCUGUCCCUGCCCGUUGUACCUUCUGCUUCUCCUAGAGCAGCUCUGACCUCAACCCCACAGAGGCUUUCCGUGUACUCAUAUUGCCCUCAGCCCUGCUCCCCCUUCUCAGCGCCUUAUCUGGUACCCCGAGAAUACUGGCAAUCUGGCAGCCCCAUGCAACAGCCCUUAUCACACCUGCAAAGGCUCCUGGGAUGUGAGCAACUUGACGGAAGGGGCUUAUCCCCUGCUGUAGCAUAGUGCACAUUGAAGUGUUCAAUAAAUGGAUAUUGAAUGAAUCAA